rnacentral:rRNA from 1 species
UGGUAGGAAUACCCGCUGAACUUAAGCAUAUCAAUAAGCGGAGGAAAAGAAACCAACAGGGAUUGCCUUAGUAACGGCGAGUGAAGCGGCAACAGCUCAAAUUUGAAAUCUGGCCCUUGGGUCCGAAUUGUAAUUUGUAGAGGAUGAUUUUGGUGCGGUAUCUUCCGAGUUCCUUGGAACAGGACGCCUUAGAGGGUGAGAGCCCCGUACGGUUGAAUGCCUAGCCUCUGUAAAUCUCCUUCGACGAGUCGAGUAGUUUGGGAAUGCUGCUCUAAAUGGGAGGUAAAUUUCUUCUAAAGCUAAAUAUUGGCCAGAGACCGAUAGCGCACAAGUAGAGUGAUCGAAAGAUGAAAAGCACUUUGAAAAGAGGGUUAAAUAGCACGUGAAAUUGU